UUUUAUGGUGGCUGUGCGCGGGGCGCUUUCGAGUGCGCCGGGUGCCUAACGUCCCGGUCUUCCACACCUGCGUACAGCCGCCACCCAU
ncrna:unclassified sequences C4 antisense RNA